AUGUAUAUAGCUCAUAAGUAGGGCACUUGUUUAGCAUGUAAGAAUCCCUGGGUUCAAUCCCCAGCUAUAUAAA
rnacentral:tRNA from 1 species